GUUUCCAAGCAGAGGCAUUUAGAAGUUCUCCAUCGACUAUACACCUUGGGCCAGGCAACUGAAAAAUGCAAAUGAAGAUCAAAGUGUUUGUGAUCAUCGGGAUUAUUGUCAUCAAUUCAUGUACAUGUACUCCAAAUAAAAUAGAAGGCGAUGGAAUGUACAAGGAUAUGCAUGCCAAGGAGGUUCGCAAACUCAUAAAUACUGAUGGAAGGGCUGCCCCAACUGGCGAUUCCGUAGAUCAUGUGUGUCCACUUGGGAGCUUUCCUUGCAGGUCGUUGAUCCACAGUUCUCAGGAUACUACGUUUGAUCUUGGUGGACACUAGAAGUCUAUCAGAAUGGAAAGAAGAACACAUGAACUGUCAGUCUAACAUUGUGUAUGUCUGAACGGUUAUUAUGUGUUUCCAUAUCAUAAUUUCUAUGUGUUAUACGUUGCUGGUCGUUUGUCACUGAGUGGCAGUGUAUUUGAAGUUUGUGUUAUGUACUUAAGAUAAAUGUUAACAGACGAGUUCAAUACUA